AACUGCUCAUCCGAUGACGGUACCUGAGAAGAAAGCCCCGGCUAACUACGUGCCAGCAGCCGCGGUAAUACGUAGGGGGCAAGCGUUGUCCGGAAUUAUUGGGCGUAAAGCGCGCGCAGGCGGUUUCUUAAGUCUGGUGUCUAAGUGCGGGGCUCAACCCCGUGAUGCACUGGAAACUGGGAGACUUGAGUGCAGAAGAGGAGAGCGGAAUUCCACGUGUAGCGGUGAAAUGCGUAGAGAUGUGGAGGAACACCAGUGGCGAAGGCGGCUCUCUGGACUGUAACUGACGCUGAGGCGCGAAAGCGUGGGGAGCAAACAGGAUUAGAUACCCUGGUAGUCCACGCCGUAACGAUGAGUGCUAGGUGUUGGGGGGGU
rnacentral:rRNA from 1 species